GAUGAACGCUGGCGGCGUGCUUAACACAUGCAAGUCGAACGGAAAGGCCCAAGCUUGCUUGGGUACUCGAGUGGCGAACGGGUGAGUAACACGUGGGUGAUCUGCCCUGCACUUCGGGAUAAGCCUGGGAAACUGGGUCUAAUACUGGAUAGGACCACUUCUUGGAUGUUGUGGUGGAAAGUUUUUUCGGUGUGGGAUGAGCUCGCGGCCUAUCAGCUUGUUGGUGGGGUAAUGGCCUACCAAGGCGUCGACGGGUAGCCGGCCUGAGAGGGUGUACGGCCACAUUGGGACUGAGAUACGGCCCAGACUCCUACGGGAGGCAGCAGUGGGAAUAUUGCACAAUGGGCGCAAGCCUGAUGCAGCGACGCCGCGUGGGGGAUGACGGCCUUCGGGUUGUAAACUCCUUUCGCUAGGGACGAAGCGUUUUGUGACGGUACCUGGAGAAGAAGCACCGGCUAACUACGUG
rnacentral:rRNA from 1 species